rnacentral:misc_RNA from 1 species
GAUGAAGAACGCAGCGAAAUGCGAUACUUGGUGUGAAUUGCAGAAUCCCGUGAACCAUCGAGUCUUUGAACGCAAGUUGCGCCCGAAGCCAUUAGGCCGAGGGCACGCCUGCCUGGGCGUCACACGUCGUUGCCCCCCCCAUCUACUCCUUCGGGAUUGCGGGGGGCGGAUGAUGGCCUCUCGUGCGCCUCGUCGCGCGGUUGGCCUAAAUGCCAAGUCCUCGGCGACGCACGCCACGACAAUCGGUGGUUGCGAAACCUCGGUUGCCUGUCGUGUGCGGUCGUCGCGCAUCGAGGGCUCGAAAAAAUUGCCGGGCUUCGGCUCGACUUUCAACGCGACCCCAGGUCAGGCGGGGUUACCCGCUGAAUUUAAGCAUAUCAAUAAGCGGAGGA